AAAAGGAAAGAAAACUUCAAAAGACCUGAGCAAUCAAAACUGCCCAGGUAUGAGUACUCCACUUUCAAAGACAUGACAGUGAAAAUACAGGGGGAAAAAAUCAUACCUAACAUCAAAACUGUUGCAAAUCAUGGACUAGUUUAUUUAACCCCCUGCACAACCCUAUAGGAUAAACAUCAUUACUAGCUGAACUUUUUUGUUUUGUUUUGUUUGUUUGUUUGUUUUUUUGUGGUACCGGGGAUCGAACUUGGGUCCUUGCACUUGCAAGGCAGGUGGCGGAACCACUGAGCUGAUUCCCUGGCCCUUCUAGCUGAAUUUUGUAGCUAGGAAAACUGGGGCAGUGGUAGCUCAGCAGCGCUGCACCUGCUUGGCAAGCGCAAGGUUUGAAGAAAGAGAGAAAAAGAAAGAAAAGAAAAGAGAAGAGAGAAAACUGAGGGUCAGUAAGAUUGAGUCGGUUAGCGUGGAGUCAGGACCAGAACCCUGCUCGGGCUGGCCCCGGGUGUAGUAGGCUCUGAGCCCCAGUGCCCUGCUGUACACUCGCACACCCACCUCCUUCUCCACGUGGUGCUGAAGGGCAUGCACCGAGGUGCCCUAACCCUACAUACACCCUGCAGAAUUCAGGUAAGUACCCUCGGGCCUCUUUUAUCCAGUGUCACCAGAGGAAGGGCUACCCGGUUGUUUUAAGCCACUAGUUUUGUGGUACUUUGUUCCAGCAACCCAGGAAUCUGAUGCAGAUUUUGGAAAGAGGGGAAAAAAUGGAGGAGGUAGGCAAAGUGGACACCUGAUGGCGACCACAGUGACUUGCUUUCCUUUGUCCUCCUGAGGGAGAAUGUGUCAUGAGCCAUCCCAACCACCACCGAGGGACCGCAGAGCCUCCCUGGGAAUGCGUCAUCCUGGGUCAGGCUGCCUUGAGCUUCACUCUGUAACCCCAGUUGGCCUGGAACUCACAGUGAUUCUCCUGCCUCAGCCUCCUGAGUGCGAGGAUUACAGGGGCUACCAUUCCUGGACCUGGUCCACAUCUUAACUGAAUUCUCAGGAGAUAUCACAGUAGGUUCGCGGAUUCUUGUCAUGGAAAAAGAAUUUCCCAGACUGAAGAAAGGCUGUGUGAGGACUGAAGUGAGGAGGAGACCCUCUGCGCACCACGAAAGAGCACUCACCCGGAAGUAAACCGUGCUACAGGGAUUUCCGCCUCUAGAAGAGGUGUAGUACUGAAGACAUAGUCUGUGCUGCUGUCUUAUGGCAGCCUGUUGUGGCUGCUGCCUACAUGUCCCUGGAAAGCCACAUGUCCCCAUAGGUGGGGCUUUGGGGCGGUGAUGAGAUGGCGGGAGCGUGAUACCCAUCCGUGGAUUAGUUCAUUGAUGAGUUUGUCACUAAAGGUGAAACUGGGAGGUGAAGCCAGAGGGGUGGCCUGGGAUGGUAUGUCUCGCUCCUUCCUCUCUCUCUCUGCUUCCUGCCUGCCAUGCC